rnacentral:tRNA from 1 species
UCCUCGUUAGUAUAGUGGACAGUAUCUCUGCUUGUCACGCAGAAGACCAGGGUUCGAUUCUCUGACGGGGAG